rnacentral:rRNA from 1 species
AGUCGAGCGGAUGAAAGGAGCUAUGCUCCUGGAUCUCAGCGGCGGACGGGUGAGUAAUGCCUAGGAAUCUGCCUGGUAGUGGGGGACAACGUUUCGAAAGGAACGCUAAUACCGCAUACGUCCUACGGGAGAAAGCAGGGGACCUUCGGGCCUUGCGCUAUCAGAUGAGCCUAGGUCGGAUUAGCUAGUUGGUGAGGUAAUGGCUCACCAAGGCGACGAUCCGUAACUGGUCUGAGAGGAUGAUCAGUCACACUGGAACUGAGACACGGUCCAGACUCCUACGGGAGGCAGCAGUGGGGAAUAUUGGACAAUGGGCGAAAGCCUGAUCCAGCCAUGCCGCGUGUGUGAAGAAGGUCUUCGGAUUGUAAAGCACUUUAAGUUGGGAGGAAGGGUUGUAGAUUAAUACUCUGCAAUUUUGACGUUACCGACAGAAUAAGCACCGGCUAACUCUGUGCCAGCAGCCGCGGUAAUACAGAGGGUGCAAGCGUUAAUCGGAAUUACUGGGCGUAAAGCGCGCGUAGGUGGUUUGUUAAGUUGGAUGUGAAAUCCCCGGGCUCAACCUGGGAACUGCAUCCAAAACUGGCAAGCUAGAGUAUGGUAGAAGGGUGGGUGGAAUUUCCUGUGUAGCGGUGAAAUGCGUAGAUAUAGGAAGGAACACCAGUGGCGAAGGCGACCACCUGGACUGAUACUGACACUGAGGUGCGAAAGCGUGGGGAGCAAACAGGAUUAGAUACCCUGGUAGUCCACGCCGUAAACGAUGUCAACUAGCCGUUGGGAGCCUUGAGCUCUUAGUGGCGCAGCUAACGCAUUAAGUUGACCGCCUGGGGAGUACGGCCGCAAGGUUAAAACUCAAAUGAAUUGACGGGGGCCCGCACAAGCGGUGGAGCAUGUGGUUUAAUUYGAAGCAACGCGAAGAACCUUACCAGGCCUUGACAUCCAAUGAACUUUCCAGAGAUGGAUUGGUGCCUUCGGGAACAUUGAGACAGGUGCUGCAUGGCUGUYGUCAGCUCGUGUCGUGAGAUGUUGGGUUAAGUCCCGUAACGAGCGCAACCCUUGUCCUUAGUUACCAGCACGUAAUGGUGGGCACUCUAAGGAGACUGCCGGUGACAAACCGGAGGAAGGUGGGGAUGACGUCAAGUCAUCAUGGCCCUUACGGCCUGGGCUACACACGUGCUACAAUGGUCGGUACAGAGGGUUGCCAAGCCGCGAGGUGGAGCUAAUCCCACAAAACCGAUCGUAGUCCGGAUCGCAGUCUGCAACUCGACUGCGUGAAGUCGGAAUCGCUAGUAAUCGCGAAUCAGAAUGUCGCGGUGAAUACGUUCCCGGGCCUUGUACACACCGCCCGUCACACCAUGGGAGUGGGUUGCACCAGUAAGUAGCUAGUCUAACCUUCGG